UACGUAGGGGGCGAGCGUUGUCCGGAUUUAUUGGGCGUAAAAGGCUUGUAGGUGGCCACGCCAAGUCGGAUGUGAAAUCUCCCGGCUCAACUGGGAGGGGUCAUUCGAUACUGGCGGGCUCGAGGCCGGUAGGGGGAAGCGGAAUUCCCGGUGUAGUGGUGGAAUGCGUAGAUAUCGGGAGGAACACCAGUGGCGAAGGCGGCUUCCUGGACCGGUUCUGACACUGAGGAGCGAAAGCGUGGGGAGCGAUCCGG
rnacentral:rRNA from 1 species